rnacentral:rRNA from 1 species
UACGGGGGGGGCAAGCGUUGUUCGGAAUUACUGGGCGUAAAGGGCUCGUAGGCGGCCAACUAAGUCAUACGUGAAAUCCCUCGGCUUAACCGGGGAACUGCGUCUGAUACUGGAUGGCUUGAGUUCUGGAGAGGGAUGCGGAAUUCCAGGUGUAGCGGUGAAAUGCGUAGAUAUCUGGAGGAACACCGGUGGCGAAGGCGGCAUCCUGGACCGAUACUGACGCUGAGGAGCGAAAGCCAGGGGAGCAAACGGG